CGUCCCAUACCCACCCAUCCUCUCUCUUCUCUCUCGCGCUCUCUCUCUCUCUCUCGCACAGAGGCGAGCACCAGAAUUGGUGCACGGAACUGACCAUCUCUCACCACCAUGGCUAAGAUUCAAGGGAGGGAAGGAAGGAGAUAGUGGGAAAGGAAGAGAAAACAAGAGGAAGACAGGAAGAACAGGGUGGAGAGGAGAAUUCUUCUCUAGCUCUUGUGUUGCUUGCUUACUUUUCUGCUUGGUGGGUAUAUUGAUAAUUGCUGUAGCUUUUGGUGGUAGUGGUGGUGGUGGUGGCGGAGGAGAGGUGACGGGCAGAGGCGGUUCGCAGGUGGGAGAUGGCGGAUUCGGAUAACGAGUCCGGAGGAGGAGGGCAGGGCGGCGGAGGGGGAGGGAGCGAGUGCUCGCCGAGGGAGCAGGACAGGUUCCUACCGAUCGCGAACGUGAGCAGGAUCAUGAAGAAGGCGCUGCCGGCGAACGCGAAGAUCUCCAAGGACGCGAAGGAGACGGUGCAGGAGUGCGUGUCGGAGUUCAUCAGCUUCAUCACGGGGGAGGCGUCGGACAAGUGCCAGAGGGAGAAGAGGAAGACCAUCAACGGCGACGACCUCCUCUGGGCCAUGACGACACUCGGCUUCGAGGAUUACGUCGAGCCUCUCAAGAUUUACCUCCAGAAGUUUCGGGAGAUGGAGGGCGAGAAAAGUUCCCUCGGGAGAGGGGAAGGCGGCAAGGACCUCGGCCCCAACGGAGGCGGUGGCGCCGUGCAGAAUGGGUACGGUGGCGGCGGCCCCGGCGUUUAUGGUGGGAUGCCGGUUAUGAUGGUAGGCCAGAACCCAGGAGGAAUAAUGUACGAGCAGCCUGGGAGGAUGUCCGGUGGGUAUCAGAUGCCGGUGCCCGGCAAGGCUGGUGCUCCCUCCUCUGGAACAGGGCCGGCCAGUCAGCAGGGAAGGUCCAGGGGAUGACUGAGUUGGGCAAUAUUAUUCAUUCUAGGGGAUACAUCUUAUUUUCAUGUUGGGACUUUUAAGAGUGAACCAGAUUCUGUGGGGAUACAGGAUCAGCAAAAAAUUGAUGGUUUGAUGGUCUUUGUUUGAGCAAAAUUGUUGAAUCCUUCUUUGCUUCAGCAGAUACCAUGGAUAAGGGAGUUUUCAUUGUGAAGAUGCUGAGAUUCUCAAUAUUUCCCUUGGUAUAUGAAGCAACUUGCAGUUACAAAUUACAUCCAUCGACAUGAUUCUCGGAGAAUUUAUUCUUCCAACAAGCUUUUAUUAAUGAACUCUUCUUCAAAAACUUUUUUAAUCUUCAAAAUCUGCUGCAGGCUUUGAUGGUCGAACAGAUUCCUAGUAUGGGUAAAGGACCAAACCCCAAGAUUGCUUUCCCCAGAAAAAAGUGUUCUCAAUGUCUGUUGACUUCAGCUAUACUCUUCUUUCUAUCAUUUCUUAUUAUUUCAUUAAUAAUCAAUAAUAAAAGCACCAUUAUUUUUAUUCAUGCUUAAAUUGGUUGCUAGAAGUGAUCAGCAAAUUAAUGAUGGAAAGUGAGUGUGGGGUGCGUCUGUCUGCGCACCCUUUUUAUUAAAUGUGGAAAGGUGAAAUCUUCUUGCAGAUUUAGCAGUUUGUUUUCUUCUCCCAUGGCGGCCAUGUGAGGAAGAAAAGCUCUUUAAACGAUGCGGCGAAUUACCUUUUCAGCCUUCAAGCCAUGGACUUUCACUACUGCACUAAAAAAGGAGACAAGAUUUGGUUGGAUUUCAUGGUCAGCCGCUGGAGAUGGCUUUUUAGAGCAUCUUUCUCAAUUGCAGAGCCAAAUGUGGGCAGACAGUAAAACGCCAUUUGGGAGAUCACCUCAACUAGGAAUCGGAAGUUUGCUGUCCUGCAGAGGGGAGCAAGUAUGAGCUUCUGUGAACCUUCUCGAGGGAUGACCAGCAGACUCUUUCUUUUUAGACUCGAGCAAUUUCUGCGGAGACGUAAACAGGGUUGGAUUCCGAGGACAGUUGAACCUAUGAGAUGUCAGAUCAUAUAGGUCUUUUCGAUUGACAAAGCUGGGGGUUAGGCAGAUCUUUAGAUCUCCUCUCCUGCAAAAUCGGAUUUGGUAUAGCUAAAAAUGACGAAAAUUUUUGUCACAUUCGACUCCAUGUUAGAUUACAUGUAGGGUUUUUCUUUUUUUUUUUGUAUGCGGUUUGAUUGACAAGCUCACUCUAGUUAGGCAAAUUCCUCCUAAGUAGAUUAAAAAACAAAAACAAAAACAAAAAAAAAACCUGAAUGUUCUCUUAAUUUUACGUAGGGCAUGGACUAAU